rnacentral:rRNA from 1 species
UACGGGAGGCAGCAGUGGGGAAUAUUGGACAAUGGGCGAAAGCCUGAUCCAGCCAUGCCGCGUGUGUGAAGAAGGUCUUCGGAUUGUAAAGCACUUUAAGUUGGGAGGAAGGGCAGUAAGUUAAUACCUUGCUGUUUUGACGUUACCAACAGAAUAAGCACCGGCUAACUACGUGCCAGCAGCCGCGGUAAU